CACGUAGGGCGCGAGCGUUGUCCGGAAUUAUUGGGCGUAAAGAGCUCGUAGGCGGUCUGUCGCGUCGGCUGUGAAAACCCGUGGCUCAACUGCGGGCUUGCGGUCGAUACGGGCGGGCUAGAGUUCGGUAGGGGAGACUGGAAUUCCUGGUGUAGCGGUGAAAUGCGCAGAUAUCAGGAGGAACACCGGUGGCGAAGGCGGGUCUCUGGGCCGAUACUGACGCUGAGGAGCGAAAGCGUGGGGAGCGAACAGG
rnacentral:rRNA from 1 species